rnacentral:rRNA from 1 species
AUGCAUAAGAGAGUCCUACCCAGACACGGGGGAAAGCCUUCUGCUUUGUAUCUUCACGGCCCAUCAGUCCGACCCACAUCCAGUAGUCUGGACGAGGACCCCCUAAUCCAGGACUCCCUCAUCGGGCAAGAUCAAGAAUUUUUGUGGAGGUUGGCGAGAAACUCAAUUCUGACAAAAGAUGUCCGAGCCCAUAGAAACAUGUCAGAAAUUAGUGUUUGCCCUAUAUGUAAGGCAGCUGAGCACAACUGGAGGCCCACCUUAAUUGAUUGUAUUAUGUCUAAGUGCAUUUGGUCACUGCUUGAUGAUGACCUAGUUGAUGUCAUGUUAUCAUGCAGAUGUCUGGAUGCUAGGAUCUGGCUCUUGCAAAUGAAAGAUUCAAUGAAGGAAAUUGAGUUCAUUACUCUACUGGUUAUGCUCUGCUCAGUGUGGUGGGUACGAAGGAAGGCUAUUCACGAACAUAUCUUUUAG